AUCCAGCCGACGAGCCCCGAAUAGGACGAAACGCGCGCCCUGGAU
rnacentral:hammerhead_ribozyme from 1 species